rnacentral:rRNA from 1 species
UACGUAGGGUGCGAGCGUUGUCCGGAAUUAUUGGGCGUAAAGGGCUCGUAGGCGGUUUGUCGCGUCGGGAGUGAAAUCCACUGGCUUAACUGGUGGCUUGCUUUCGAUACGGGUAGACUGGAGGUAUGCAGGGGAGAACGGAAUUCCUGGUGUAGCGGUGAAAUGCGCAGAUAUCAGGAGGAACACCGGUGGCGAAGGCGGAUCUCUGGGCCUUACCUGACGCUGAGGCGCGAAAGCUAGGGGAGCGAACAGG